AGCGAACGCUGGCGGCAGGCUUAACACAUGCAAGUCGAGCGGGCAUCCUUGUGGUGUCAGCGGCAGACGGGUGAGUAACGCGUGGGAACGUGCCCUUCGGUUCGGAAUAACUCAGGGAAACUUGAGCUAAUACCGGAUACGUGCGAGAGCAGAAAGGUUUAUCUGCCGAAGGAUCGGCCCGCGUCUGAUUAGCUAGUUGGUGAGGUUAUGGCUCACCAAGGCGACGAUCAGUAGCUGGUCUGAGAGGAUGAUCAGCCACACUGGGACUGAGACACGGCCCAGACUCCUACGGGAGGAAGCAGUGGGGAAUAUGGGACAAUGGGGGCAACCCUGAUCCAGCCAGGCCGGGGGAGUGAUGACGGCCUUGGGUUUGUAAAGCUCUUUUCGUCGGGACGAUAAUGACGGUACCGGAGGAAUAAGCCCCGGCUAACUUCGU
rnacentral:rRNA from 1 species